UGCGUAGGCGGAUUUAUAAGUCAGUGGUGAAAUCCUGCAGCUUAACUGUAGAACUGCCAUUGAUACUGUAGAUCUUGAGUACGGUUGAGGUGGGCGGAAUGUGUCAUGUAGCGGUGAAAUGCUUAGAUAUGACACAGAACACCAAUUGCGAAGGCAGCUCGCUAAACCGUUACUGACGCUGAGGCACGAAAGCGUGGGGAGCGAACAGGAUUAGAUACCUUGGUAGUC
rnacentral:rRNA from 1 species